GACGAACGCUGGCGGCGUGCUUAACACAUGCAAGUCGAACGGAAAGGCCCUGCUUUUGUGGGGUGCUCGAGUGGCGAACGGGUGAGUAACACGUGAGUAAACUGCCCUUGACUUUGGGAUAACUUCAGGAAACUGGGGCUCAUACCGGAUAGGAGCUCCUGCUGCAUGGUGGGGGUUGGAAAGUUUCGGCGGUUGGGGCUGGACUAGCGGCUUAUCAGCUUGUUGGUGGGGUAGUGGCUUACCAAGGCUUUGACGGGUAGCCGGCCUGAGAGGGUGACCGGGCACAUUGCGACUGAGAUACGGCGCAGACGCCUACGUGAGGCAGCAGGGGGGAAUAUUGCGCAACGGGCGGAAGCCUGAGGCAGCGACGCCGCGUGCGGGAUGACGGCCUUCGGGUUGUAAACCGCUUUGGCCUUUGACGAAGCGGGAGUGACGGUAAUGGGUAAAGAAGCACCGGCUAACUACGUG
rnacentral:rRNA from 1 species